rnacentral:rRNA from 1 species
AGAGUUUGAUCCUGGCUCAGGAUGAACGCUAGCGACAGGCUUAACACAUGCAAGUCGAGGGGCAGCACAGGUAGCAAUACCGGGUGGCGACCGGCGCACGGGUGAGUAACGCGUAUGCAACUUACCUAUCAGAGGGGGAUAACCCGGCGAAAGUCGGACUAAUACCGCAUGAAGCAGGGGCCCCGCAUGGGGAUAUUUGCUAAAGAUUCAUCGCUGAUAGAUAGGCAUGCGUUCCAUUAGGCAGUUGGCGGGGUAACGGCCCACCAAACCGACGAUGGAUAGGGGUUCUGAAAGGAAGGUCCCCCACAUUGGUACUGAGACACGGACCAAACUCCUACGGGAGGCAGCAGUGAGGAAUAUUGGUCAAUGGCCGAGAGGCUGAACCAGCCAAGUCGCGUGAGGGAUGAAGGUUCUAUGGAUCGUAAACCUCUUUUAUAAGGGAAUAAAGUGCGGGACGUGUCCCGUUUUGUAUGUACCUUAUGAAUAAGGAUCGGCUAACUCCGUGCCAGCAGCCGCGGUAAUACGGAGGAUCCGAGCGUUAUCCGGAUUUAUUGGGUUUAAAGGGUGCGUAGGCGGCCUUUUAAGUCAGCGGUGAAAGUCUGUGGCUCAACCAUAGAAUUGCCGUUGAAACUGGGAGGCUUGAGUAUGUUUGAGGCAGGCGGAAUGCGUGGUGUAGCGGUGAAAUGCUUAGAUAUCACGCAGAACCCCGAUUGCGAAGGCAGCCUGCCAAGCCAUGACUGACGCUGAUGCACGAAAGCGUGGGGAUCAAACAGGAUUAGAUACCCUGGUAGUCCACGCAGUAAACGAUGAUCACUAGCUGUUUGCGAUACAGUGUAAGCGGCACAGCGAAAGCGUUAAGUGAUCCACCUGGGGAGUACGCCGGCAACGGUGAAACUCAAAGGAAUUGACGGGGGCCCGCACAAGCGGAGGAACAUGUGGUUUAAUUCGAUGAUACGCGAGGAACCUUACCCCGGGUUUGAACGCAUUCGGACCGAGGUGGAACACCCUUUUUUAGCAAAAACCCUUUUGCAAGGGCUGCCAGGGUUGUCUUCAACUCCUGCCCCGGAGGGUGGCGGCUUAAAUGCCUAACACAGGCGAACCCUUUCCCCUAGUUUCUAAAAAGUAAAACUAAAGACUCUGUGGGGAUUCCACCUUAACUUCCCAAGAAAGGGGGGGUAGAAUUAAAAUUACAACGGCCCUUCAUUCCCGGGGGCAACACCUGUUUCAAUUGUUUGGAAAAAAGGAAAACCCUUGGGCCAGGGGAGAUUUCCCAACCACGUCUCAGUUCGGAUCGGAGUCUGCAACCCGACUCCGUGAAGCUGGAUUCGCUAGUAAUCGCGCAUCAGCCAUGGCGCGGUGAAUACGUUCCCGGGCCUUGCACACACCGCCCGUC